rnacentral:lncRNA from 1 species
CCGCGGGGCGGAGAAGCCGGAACCUCAGGGUCACCAGGUGCGCCCGGUUCCCCCUCCUCCCCCUCACUGAGGGGAUCUCCGCUCCCCAGACCCCGGGCCGGGGGCAACGGCGACCCACAGCCGCUCCGACGCCCAAAGUCGCAUCCCACCCGGCAGCCCCUUAACGACAGCCGACAGCGCCGUCGCCACCAGCCUCGCUGCUCCGGCUGGCGCUUCAGCCUAGCGGGCCCCAGCCGUCUUCGCCAUGGAGAGUUCCCCGUCCCGAAGUGGGCAGGCGGUGGGAGAGAAAGAGCAGCAGGGUGGAGACUCCGCCGGCAGCAGGGGAGGGAGAAGAGGAAAGGCGAAAGCGAAGGGCGGGUGCGGAGCUGUGCCAGCUGCUGCCGCCUCUUGGGCCACGGGGCCCGACCCGCUCCGCUCAGAGGCGCCGUAGGCGGUCUAGCCCCGCAUCCCCGGCUCUCCUCGGCGCGGCCCGACGCCCGGAUCCGACCCUGCCAAGAGCUGCUCCCCGCGGGACAGCCUCACUCUCCCAUUUUGUACCGUCGCUGCUGGGGCUGCUGCCGCGCUGUCCGGCGGGGCAGGGCGAGGUCGGCGCCCGAUGGAGACUUAGGAGAGGAAAGGCUGUCACUUAAGUGCUGGAGGUCCACCAUGUGCCACAGAGGAUAUGAGGCAACAAAGCACAUUCUUUUGAAGCCACCCCAAGAUCUAUUCUGA